UACAGAGGGGGCAAGCGUUGCUCGGAUUUACUGGGCGUAAAGGGCGCGUAGGCGGCCGCCUAAGUCAGACGUGAAAUCCCUCGGCUCAACCGGGGAACUGCGUCUGAUACUGGGUGGCUUGAAUUCGGGAGAGGGAUGCGGAAUUCCAGGUGUAGCGGUGAAAUGCGUAGAUAUCUGGAGGAACACCGGUGGCGAAGGCGGCAUCCUGGACCGAGAUUGACGCUGAGGCGCGAAAGCCAGGGGAGCAAACGGG
rnacentral:rRNA from 1 species